rnacentral:tRNA from 2 species
CAAGAUAUAGCUUAAACAAAGCAUCUAGUUUACACCUAGAAGAUUCCAUCAUACAUGUAUAUCUUGA